AAAAAUUGUCUCUUCGAAACGUGUGCACUUGAAAAUAUUUUUCUUUGCGCUGCUUGAUUAGAAAGAGGAUGUGAACAGUGUAAGGAUAUAUUGGAGUGAAUAUUGCUUUGGAGAGUACAUGCGAUGCGAAGACUUGUCAGUUUUGAAAGGGUAUUUAUUUUUUCAUUUGACGUUAUCCUCUUCAGUGGGUUGGGGGUGGUAAAAAUGAAUAAAAGAGAAAGUGUAAGAAAUGUCAUGGUAUUAAAAAAUGAUAGGUCUUGCAUUGUUGUAAGGACUCGUUAGUUUAA